GUGUCAGCAGCCGCGGUAAUACGUAGGGACCAAGCGUUGUUCGGAUUUACUGGGCGUAAAGGGCGCGUAGGCGGCAUGACAAGUCACUUGUGAAAUCUCCGGGCUUAACUCGGAACGGCCAAGUGAUACUGUCGCGCUAGAGUGCGGAAGGGGCAAUCGGAAUUCUUGGUGUAGCGGUGAAAUGCGUAGAUAUCAAGAGGAACACCUGAGGUGAAGACGGGUUGCUGGGCCGACACUGACGCUGAUGCGCGAAAGCCAGGGGAGCAAACGGGAUUAGAAACCCCGGUAGUCC
rnacentral:rRNA from 1 species